GUACAUUUCCCUUUUGUAAUUAUUUGUGGACAUAGCUGUUAUUGGCCCUAUGUACUUACUAUUUUCCGUUAGUAUAAUGCAUAUUGUAAAAUUGAUGGCUGUUGUUAUCCCAAAUAAAUAAAUAAAAUAA